UGUUGGACCAAUCUCGUUCGCGGUUUCAACACCACGCGACCAAUCCGCGUGUAGUAUUCCGCCCUGUUCAACAUUUGACCAAUCACAGAUGAGCACGAGGAUCCAUACGCGGAAGUGGGGAAUCAUUCCAAUGGCGCAGCCAGCAUGUGUAUGAUGAGCAUCCUUCUUUACCGAGGCCCAGGAAGUUAAGAUUUGUGCCAGACAAAUCUCUGGUGUCAAUCCAACCUGUCCUGACAUGACACUUUUUCAUCAAAGCAAAGUGCCGAGCUGUGGUGGUGCUGAAUGCCACAUCAAAUGAUGUAGUGAGCCGAAUCUGGCAUUGGACCCAUUUUUUUUAA